CCAGGUGGCCGGACGGCCGCUGGUCCUGCCGCAGGGCGGGGCUGGAGGAAAGUCCGGGCUCCACAGGAAGACGGUGCCGGCUAACGGCCGGCGGGGGCGACCCCAGGGAAAGUGCCACAGAGAGCAGACCGCCCGGACGCCGCAGGGCCUCCGGGCAAGGGUGAAAGGGUGCGGUAAGGGCGCACCGCGCCUCCGGCAACGGGGGCGGCAUGGCAAACCCCACCGGGAGCAAGGCCGAAUAGGGGCGGCCGGCGGCACCCGUCGCAAGACGGGUGGACGCGAGGGGCUUCCUGCCCUGCCGCCCGGGUUGGCCGCGCGAGGCGCGCCGUGAGGCGUGUCCCAGAGGAAUGGCCGUCCCAUCCCCGUUUUUCAGGGGGUGGACAGAACCCGGCUUACAGGCCGCCUGGCGCA
rnacentral:RNase_P_RNA from 1 species